GAGUUUGAUCCUGGCUCAGGACGAACGCUGGCGGCGCGCCUAACACAUGCAAGUCGAACGAGAGAGAGGAAGCUUGCUUCCUCAAUCGAGUGGCGAACGGGUGAGUAACGCGUGAGGAACCUGCCUCAAAGAGGGGGACAACAGUUGGAAACGACUGCUAAUACCGCAUAAGCCCACAGCUCGGCAUCGAGCAGAGGGAAAAGGAGCAAUCCGCUUUGAGAUGGCCUCGCGUCCGAUUAGCUAGUUGGUGAGGUAACGGCCCACCAAGGCGACGAUCGGUAGCCGGACUGAGAGGUUGAACGGCCACACUGGAACUGAGACACGGUCCAGACUCCUACGGGAGGCAGCAGUGGGGAAUAUUGGGCAAUGGGCGAAAGCCUGACCCAGCAACGCCGCGUGAAGGAAGAAGGCCUUCGGGUUGUAAACUUCUUUUAAGAGGGACGAAGAAGUGACGGUACCUCUUGAAUAAGCCACGGCUAACUACGUGCCAGCCGCCGCGGUAAUUC
rnacentral:rRNA from 1 species